AGAGUUUGAUCCUGGCUCAGGACGAACGCUGGCGGCAGGCUUAACACAUGCAAGUCGAACGCUCUCUUCGGAGGGAGUGGCGCACGGGUGAGUAACACGUGGGAACCUACCCUGAGGUACGGAAUAACCAUUGGAAACGAUGGCUAAUACCGUAUGUCCCCUGCGGGGGAAAGAUUUAUCGCCUUGGGAUGGGCCCGCGGUCGAUUAGCUAGUUGGUGUGGUAAUGGCGCACCAAGGCGACGAUCGAUAGCUGGUCUGAGAGGAUGAUCAGCCACACUGGGACUGAGACACGGCCCAGACUCCUACGGGAGGCAGCAGUGGGGAAUAUUGGACAAUGGGCGCAAGCCUGAUCCAGCCAUGCCGCGUGAGUGAUGAAGGCCUUCGGGUUGUAAAGCUCUUUCAGGUGGGACGAUGAUGACGGUACCACCAGAAGAAGCCCCGGCUAACUUCGUGCCAGCAGCCGCGGUAAUACGAAGGGGGCUAGCGUUGUUCGGAAUCACUGGGCGUAAAGCGCGCGUAGGCGGUCCUGCCAGUCAGGGGUGAAAGCCCAGGGCUCAACCCUGGAACGGCCUUUGAUACUGCGGGACUUGAGUUCGGGAGAGGGGCAUGGAAUUCCCAGUGUAGAGGUGAAAUUCGUAGAUAUUGGGAAGAACACCAGUGGCGAAAGCGGUGCC
rnacentral:rRNA from 1 species